AAGUCGUAACAAGGUUUCCGUAGGUGAACCUGCGGAAGGAUCAUUAACACGUAUCCAAACGUAAAAAACCCCCCCCGUGAACAUUCAAUCCUGCUCUUGUAACCCGCGUAGUUCGCAAUCUCUGGUAAAUCAUAGCCCGGAAAGUAGUUUUGAUUCAGAGAAUCGAGCGGUAGUUUCAUAGGCAUUGUUUCCCCAAGCAGUUAGUGUCUGAAAGUGUCACUGAUUGUGCAAGGAUAGCGCUUCAACGAUUCCUGUAGACCGUACACUCGGGCAGGAGCUAUGCCAAAGGGUCCCCAUGCCCCCUUAUAACCCCACAGUUUAAUGUGAAGCUCAAUGUAAUACAUUGGGUAAAAAAACCGAACAACUGUUAACAAUGGAUAUCUUGGUUCUC
rnacentral:misc_RNA from 1 species